GAAAGAAAAUGUGUCCCAGCAUCCCCAAAAUUACAAAGAAAGACCAGCAAAUGAAAAUGGUUGAAAUGUUAUCAGAACUCUACCCUUCUCUGAAUGCAAUGAGUACAGAUGAAGUAAAGAUGUCUUUUCUCAGAAGCAGUCUUUUGGAGAUGGUAGUACUUCCUCUAUCAAGACAAACUACAGAUAUUCCUCAGAUCAGUAGUCUUCUUCAACUAGUAUAUCUAUCCUACAACUAGCCUCCAUUCACGUCCUCACUGAACACAUGGGAGGUGCUCCAAGAAGAAUCCGACUGCAGAGUAGUUUCACAAGACAAGGUCUGGGAAGCUGCAGCUCAUUGUAUUGUUGUUCAUACUGUUUGAAGCAGGCAUGGAAUGGGCAGCUGGCACCAAAUGCAAGGGUUCUUUUACGUUCCUGGAAGCAUCUCCUUCAUGCCAUAAACCAAGUCCCCCCAUGGUACUAUAACAGGCUUGGUUUUGUUCCACAGUCGCUAUCAUUAUAGAAGUGGCGCUGUACAGAAGCUUCUGCUACAUGGCUGCUGGAGUCUCAGUUUAAUAUGUUAGUAUAACCAGACACUGAUAUAACAAUUAUUUCGUACAUUUUUAUUAUCUUUCUCUUAGAUUCUUGCUCUGUUCU